UACAGAGGGGGCAAGCGUUGUUCGGAAUUACUGGGCGUAAAGGGCGCGUAGGCGGCCUUCUAAGUCGAACGUGAAAUCCCCGGGCUCAACCCGGGAACUGCGUCCGAUACUGGAAGGCUUGAAUCCGGGAGAGGGAUGCGGAAUUCCAGGUGUAGCGGUGAAAUGCGCAGAUAUCAGGAGGAACACCGGUGGCGAAGGCGGAUCUCUGGGCCUUACCUGACGCUGAGGCGCGAAAGCUAGGGGAGCAUACAGG
rnacentral:rRNA from 1 species